ACCUGGCUGGCUCAGUCAGCAGAGCCUGUGACUUGUGAUCUCAGCGUUGUGGGUUUGACCCCCAUGUUGGGUG
rnacentral:tRNA from 1 species